UGAGGUAGUGGAUUCUGU
rnacentral:miRNA from 1 species